rnacentral:rRNA from 1 species
UUCCGGUUGAUCCCGCCGGAGGCCAUUGCUAUCGGUGUCCGAUUUAGCCAUGCGAGUCGCACGUUCAACGUGGCGAACGGCUCAGUAACACGUGNUCAAACUACCCUACGGACCGUGAUAACCUCGGGAAACUGAGGCUAAUAACGGAUGUCGCUCCCGAGCUGGGAUGCUGGGAGCGAUAAAGCUCCGGCGCCGUAGGAUGUGACUGCGGCCGAUUAGGUAGACGGUGGGGUAAUGGCCCACCGUGCCGAUAAUCGGUACGGGUUGUGAGAGCAAGAACCCGGAGACGGACUCUGAGACAAGAGUCCGGGCCCUACGGGGCGCAGCAGGCGCGAAACCUUUACACUGCACGCAAGUGCGAUAGGGGGACACCGAGUGCGAGGGCAUAGAGCCCUCGCUUUUGUGCAUCGUAAGGUGGUACACGAAUAAGGGCUGGGCAAGACCGGUGCCAGCCGCCGCGGUAACACCGGCAGCCCGAGUGAUGGCCGCUUUUAUUGGGCCUAAAGCGUCCGUAGCCGGCCGUUCAGGUCCGUCGGGAAAUCCACUGGCUCAACCAGUGGGCGUCCGGCGGAAACCGAUCGGCUUGGGACAGGGAGACCAGAGGGGUACGUCCGGGGUAGGAGUGAAAUCCUGUAAUCCUGGACGGACCACCGGUGGCGAAAGCGCCUCUGGAGAACUGAUCCGACGGUGAGGGACGAAAGCUGGGGUCUCGAACCGGAUUAGAUACCCGGGUAGUCCCAGCUGUAAACAAUGCUCGCUAGGUGUGUCGCAGGCUACGAGCCUGCGAUGUGCCGUAGGGAAGCCGAGAAGCGAGCCGCCUGGGAAGUACGUCCGCAAGGAUGAAACUUAAAGGAAUUGGCGGGGGAGCACUACAACCGGAGGAGCCUGCGGUUUAAUUGGAUUCAACGCCGGA